GUUGGGGCUGUGGCUCAGUGGUAGAGCGCUUGCCUCACAUGCAUAGAGCACCGAGUUCGAUCUUCAGCACAACA
rnacentral:tRNA from 1 species